UGGAUUAGUUAUGUUUAGAACACUAUGUUUUAUUCUUAUGAGACUGUCGAGGAGCCAUUUUUAUGUGUGCUAGGACAAAUGUCACCCAUAGGUGGCAGUGUCACCAUAGAGCGCUCGGGGUAACGUGAUUGCACCAGGUCGAAUAAGACGAGCAGACGACGACCGCGCGAAAAUUGAAAAUUAACGGCUGGUAAAGCUAGCGUGAAACUCAGGUGGGUGUAUGAAUAUUCAUCACAAGAAUCUUCUAGCGUUGUGUCAACCUUCAAGAUAAUAGUUUCCCCUUCAGUUGUAGUACAAAUUCCCUUUCCUUUGUGACAAGCAUGAGCGCUGAGUUUAUUGAUUUGUGUGCGUAUUACGGACCACUACAAUGUACAGUAUUUUCGGGUUUUAAGCGCCAUUUUGUCAUUUUCUUUCAUAAUUAGCCCCUCAGCUUUAGGGACUAUCUCAACUUCAGAAGUCCUUGUCAAACUGCUGACUGCUCAUGCUUAAAAUUAUUUUUCCAAUCACCGACUUCUCCUGUUGAGGACC